rnacentral:tRNA from 1 species
UGGCUCAGAGGUUAAAGCGUCUGCCUGGAAUGCAGGAGACCAGAGUUCGAUCCCUG